CUGCAAUGACAUGCCACUGAGAUGUGAUGUAUUCUACUCUGCCCCUGAAUAAUCCGCAGUCACUAAACUACCUGAUUGAUUCUCGCAGGUUUUAGGUUUGGCCGCAACUGGAAGAACAUCGACGAGGAUCAAAUCACGGAUUUCUUUGCCCACAAUACCCAAACGACCAAGUCCCCUAACUCUGAAUUACCUGAACUCUUGAACACUGCUAUUCUUCAGACUUUUGUAGGGAGCCGACAUGGGCCUCUGAGUCUGCUCUAUACAUAAAGAACAUGUCUUGUAGUUCUACCUUGGGACAGACUCUAACCCACGACUCUUGCACUGGAACGGUCCUGAUUGGGUGGUGUGUGUACCUUCAACUUCACCAAAUGGGAUUAUGAGUGUUGGCUUGCUGAACGUGUGGCUCUGUAAUGCAAACACGCUAGAAGUCGAACCAUAAAGAGGAAGGCCUUGCCCUCUAUACUGUGCACACUGAUUGCCUUUUGCAGGCACUCACGCUGAUCAACAUCGUGUGUGUCGGUCACUAUUAGCAUUGACCACGGUACAGGUAGAUCUGCAUUAGUCUCGAUCAAUGCGCCUCGUGAUUACCUGCAUUAUAAGGAUUCAACGCAUGCAGGGGUUGUAAUGCCGAACUGUUGAUCGUAAUGUUCAUGUGUUACUUCAAGCUACAACUUGUUGUGUUAAAUUAAGUGACAUCCAUUUUUUUCUAUAGUAAGUAGCAUGGCUGAACAUUAAGUAAUUGCCGCUACCCUGUAAAAAUAAGAAGGUCAUGGUAGUAUUAAGGUGUAUAGUCAAACCUUUUCUACAUUCACUUAUUGAUAUGAUGCACUUGAUUAAAUAGAUGUAUUUGAAGUUUGUAGCUUGUGUGGGUGCACUUUUUUUAUUUUAAAAAAGGCUUUUCUUCUAUCAUGUAUCCAGUGCUGCGAUUUGCAUUCAAUAGUACUGCGUUUAUUUUUUCUCCAUGUUUCAAUUCAUGCAUUGAUUCUGAAUUUAAAAGUAUAUUGCAUUUCCGAUUUGGUUUCCUAGCAUUUUUUCGUUCUAUCUGAUGUGUAUUAUCUAUAGUAGAAGCUACUAUUACAUCAGUGCCUCAUGAGAUAGACAUGAAAUUUAACAAAGACAAUUAUUUCAUACAAACGUACUGAGUUGUACCAUGUUGUACCAUGCGCUACUCUGAUAGAUCGCAACAAAGUAUUCAACACUACACUUCAAGUUUGUGUCCCAACAAAGAUUGAUAUGCACCAAGUAUAUAUAGAUUUGAUGCCAAAGAAGGAUCUAAGGUUUCGAAUCGAUUGCUUACAAAUGGCCACAAAACCAAGAUAUUUGUUUACUUAAGAACGUUCACUGCUAAUUUGCUAAUUUGUACAACCUGCUAACAACUUCAACUUAUAAAUCAUUGAAAUGCUUCUUUCCUUGAAUUA